UUUUAAAGGGCCCAGCAGCUUCUCUACUAUCGUUUCUUUAACCUUGCUAUGUGUGUCCUCAGAAGGUCCUUAUUCUUUUUUUUAUUUCUUCUUUUUGUUCUUUUCCAUUUUGAAGUAAUACGUUUUAGCAUUGGGAGUGUUUGACUGAAUGAGAAAUAAUAAUGAAAUGAAUGAAGAUUUUGCAUUUGGUUUGCUUUGUACUUUCCCACAACUCUUGGAGCUUUAUCGGACUGUUUUGCCCCUUCUUCUAAGAGACAAAGGUGGGAUUUCUUGUAUGAUUCAAUUGGAAUUUCUAAUUACAAAAGUCAUUGUGUUGCAUUUUGUUUUCCAAUUAGUUAACGCGUAAUUAAGCUUCUAUUAAAUAAUAUCAAAUAAUAAUAAUAACAAAAAAGGUUGUUUGGUAUUUCUAAGAAAUCCUUAGAGGACAAGACAGACAGAAGCUUCUUCAACGUUUGAUCCCUCUUCUUUGAUUAUCUAUUAUGAUCUCAUUUGAAUGCAACGGCUAUCAUAUUUAAUUUUCUGCCUUGUAUCUUUUUUUUAAACAAAAAUACUUUAUAGUUUUAAGUGUUAAAAAAAUGUUCUAUUAAUAUCAUUUUAUGUCUUCAAUUUGAGAGUGAUUUAACAAACAAUAUUUCUGUUUCCAUUAUAUUAAAAAAAAUCAAAAUUAAUUUUAGGGGCAUAUUCAUAUAUAUAUAUAUAUAUAAAGGAUUAUUUACAAAUCAAGUUCUCUGAAGUUCAGUUAUAUGAACUAGAAAAUAUUGAAGUGCAUUACAUAUAAUUCUAAUUUAAGUUUCUUACUAUAACAAUUCUGAACAGAAUUAAACUUUUGGCUUUUAAUUCUCUUUUGACUUUUAGAAAGAAAAUUUUGUAAAAAGAUAAAUGUUUUAAAUUAUCGAAUAUAUUUAUUAUGAAAUUUAUUGUAUCUUCAACUAAAAGAAUUUCAUUCAUGUAAGGAAUUUGAAAAUUCACUUUUUUUUUUUUUUUUUACAAUACAAUAUGUGAGAUGUGGGGAUUGAACGUAUACAUGCAUGAUAUUAUUUAUUAUGUGUAUUAGAAUAAAAUCAUUCUUGAGAAUUAAAAGAUAAAACAGUUAAUAAAUUAUAAUUAUUAUUGUUUAAAAGAUUUUAAUAGUACUUGUUUUUGUAUUUAAAAGAGUUCUUAUAUUUCGAAAACUCUAAUUAUUUUAAAAAAGUUUCAAAACAUGUACGAACAUAUUUCUAAUAUGUUUGAGAUUUGUAUUGCCAAGUGCUUAAAAGUAGUUUAAAUUGAAAUUUAAACAAAUAAUUAUAAAUUUCUUUAAAUCUUAACUUGUAGUUUAAAAUACAAUUAAAAUUAAAAGAUCGAGAUUUACCUUGAAUCAAUCCUGACAUAAAAGUAAAAGAAUCAUUUUUUCGUAAGUUUUUCUUAUAAGUUUUUUUCAUUUUCGAAAUUGUUGUAUAAAUAUUUUGCUUAUAUUUUUUUAAAACACUCCUAAAUUUUAUUUAAUAAUUUUAAUAUUUUCCAACCUUAUGGUUGAUGAAAAAGUUAGUUGACUGCAUCAUUUUUUUGUAUUUUGUAUGAUAUUUGUAAAAAAUAAUAACUAACAAAUUUGAUAAAAUAUUUUGUAAAAUUUUUGAAUUCUAAAAAUAAUAUACAUUGAUAUAUGUGUGGAUGAUAGUUCUAAUCCAAAAUUUGAUCACGUAAAUAUUUAAAUUUAUUUAAGUGAUUUUGUUUUUUUAUUUUUGACCGGGGGCGCUUUAAAUAAUACUAUAUGUUUAUAAUUUAUCCCCCAGUUUUCCUUCGUCCCCAAGUUGGAAAUCAAAUGCCCUAAAACUCCUUUCUUUCAUUUCUGCUGAAAUUUCCUUCUCUUUUCAGCCGUCUCUCUCUCUUUCUCUCUCUCAUCACCGAAUUCCUCCUGCUUUGAUCGACGCCCUGUCCGCCGGCUGCCUCUCCCAUCCGAGUUUUGUUUUUACUUUAAUCAACUCUGUUCAUCUCCUGCUUCAUUUCGCACCAUGGUUUCAGGUAACUUCAAUUCUUUCUCAUUUCAUUUCCCAUCUUUUCCUUUUCUUCCAUUUAGGUUACCCCUCUAUUGUUUGUUCAAUCCUCUGCUUUUUUUCCUUUUAUUCUUACAUCUGAAUCCUUCGGCUUUCCUCAUUUCUUUGCCUCGGAUUUCUUUUAUAUUUUAAUUGUUUGUCUUUGUCAUUCAUAUUAUCAAUGAAAUUGUGAUCAACUGUUUCUCAUUUAUAAAAGAAAAAGAAAAAAAGAAAAAGAAAAAUGUGUUUCUGUGUUUGAUCUCGCAUUCUCUUUGAUUGUAUUUAAAUUUAUACAAUAACAACUUAUCAUCAAUAAUAACAACGAGAGCUACAAAAGUAAAAUAAAAAAAACAUCACUUUUAUUUGUUCUUUGCAGGCAUACAAUCAAAAUUGAAACAUAGUUUUAGUCUUCAAGACUCGCUUCACUAUACUUUUGGAAUAAAAAGGAAAAAGAGAAUGCAAUUCAGAAAGAAAAGGCAAAACAAAAGUCAAACAAGCUUUAUGCAAUCAGCUCGACGAAAAGAGACGCCAGAACUGUAGUGGGAUCUCCAAGAACGAUACUAACAAUGGUCUUGAUGAAAACCUUUAGGAUUCUCCAAUAUUUGUUCCCUUUUCCGCCAUUCCCACGCCCUCGAGCUUUAAUUGCUUUCAGAUUAACCUUCUGAAGAGUCAGUUGCUGGUCCUGAUUGGCAUUAUUGGCAUUCAUCCAGUCUCCUCCGUUCUUGUACCAUUCCUCUAAAGCCAUUUCAGUAACACAAGCCACAUGAACAUGGUACUCCCCGCACUCAGAUAUGUAGGACCAACCAUUGCUUUGGCCAUGGCGUUUGAUGGUCCUCUUCUUGCACCACAUGCACUUCCCCUGGACUUCCUUGUAGAGAUUGAACACCACGUCUUCAAUUUGGUAAUUCCUGUUGAGGUUUCGACAGCAGGGGUGGAGAUCCAGGUCAUCUUUCUCGCAGUGGUACAUAAAGCCAUUGAUAGGUUUUGUGCAGGCGUCGCAAAUCCGUUUGCAUUCGUCGUGGCAGGCCCUUGGUGGGGUUUUAGAGAACUUGAAGGCGGAACGUGUGAAAAAUUCAUGAAACACUGGUGAGUCUUGUGGAAACAUACAAGCUUUGUGAAGAUCAAAAUCACACUUCUCGCAUCGGUAGCGAGGCCCAAAGCCUAUUUCCUUGCAGCCAUCGCAGGUGUAAGGUUUCAGGUACUUCUUCAGCUCCAAUUCAUGCUUCAGUUGAUUUGGAGUACACAACUGCUUGGCCAUUCUUUUUUUUUUUCUUGAAGCAAAGUAAAACACCAACAAAACAAGAGGUAUAGGAUGGAUUGCGGGGUAGGGAAGGGUAGGGAAGUGAUUUGUGAAUAUGGGGUUUGCUAGAAGAGCAGAUAAGAGAUUGGAAAGAUUGCAGACAGGAAUAGCAGAGAUGAAGAGUUUAAGAAGAAUGUAGGAAAGGUUGUGGGGAAUUUAGAACGGAGGCUGUGGGUUUAUAUAAGAAAUCUAAGGCCAUGAGUUUCAGGUAAUUUCUUCCAUCUUUGUUCUUAGAAGAAAUGCAUAUAAGUUUUGAAGAAAUUUCUAACUCUGGGUUUUGCUUAUUGUCAAUAUUUUCUUCCUCAUUAGGUCCUUAAAACGUAAUGGUUUUGCUUAUUCUCAAUAGUUUAUUGUUCUUUACGUUGUAUUUUCACGUCACUUGUGUCUAAUAUGAUGGAAUACACUCAAAUGGAUAUGCAUAUGAUGUGAAUUUGAUAGAAAUUUCUGUACUCGGUCCAUUUGUCUUCUCUCAUUUGUUAAUUUGUGUUUUAGUUCAUUUAAUAUUCUAGUUUACUGCUAAUCUUAGAUAAAUUAUCUAGACUUUUAGAGUAAAUAUGUAAAACUCCGUUGUUUGUGGAAGGUUCUUAUAAAUAAUAUCAAAUAAUAAUAAUAAUAAUAAAAAAAACGGUUGUAGUUUGGUAUUUCUAAGAAAUCUUCAACCUCGCUAUGUGUGUCCUCAGAAGGUUCUUAGUUCUUUUUUUCCGUUCUUUUCCAUUUUGAAGUAAUGUAUUUUAGCAUUGGGAAGAGUUAGAGUGAAUGAGAAAUAAUAAUGAAAUGAUUGAAGAUUUUGCUUUGUAGUUUCCCACAACUCUUGGAGCUUUAUUGACUAUUUUGCCCCUUGUUCUAAGAGACAAAUGUGGG
rnacentral:lncRNA from 1 species